AACGUGGGUGGCAAGCGUUAUCCGGAUUUAUUGGGCGUAAAGAGGGCGCAGGCGGCUUUUCAAGUCGGAUGUAAAAUCUCCCAGCUUAACUGGGAGCGAUCGUUCGAUACUGUUAAGCUAGAGUGCAACAGGGGAAGGUAGAAUUCCCGGUGUAGUGGUGAAAUGCGUAGAUAUCGGGAGGAAUACCAGUGGCGAAGGCGCCUUCUGGGUUGUUACUGACGCUUAAGCCCGAAGGCGUGGGGAGCAAACAGGAUUAGAUACCCCCGUA
rnacentral:rRNA from 1 species